rnacentral:rRNA from 1 species
GGUUUUAUGCUUACUCUGGAUAACACUGCUUAUCGCACGACCUCGUGUCGGCGAAGUUACAUUCAAGUAUCUGCCUUAUCAACUUUCGAUGGUAGUGUAUUGGACUGCCAUGGUGUUGACGGGUAACGGAGAAUCAGGGUUCGACUCCGGAGAGGGAGCCUUAGAAACGGCUACCAUGUCUAAGGACAGCAGCAGGCGCGCAACUUAUCCACUGUUCAUUGAACGAGAUAGUGACGAGAAAUAACAAGUCCGUUCUCUAUGAGGUCGGACAUUGGAAUGGAUGGAAUCUAAACAAUUCCAUGAGUACCCACGAGAGGGCAAGUCUGGUGCCAGCAGCCGCGGUAAUUCCAGCUCUCGUAAUGUAUAGAAUUAUUGUUGCGGUUAAAAAGUUCGUAGUUGGAUUUUCGACUGUUUCGGGGUCGUCCUUAACGGGACGUACUCCGGGCAGUGUUUGCAUCCGACUUGUGAGCAAUUGCAAGUUGAAUGCGGAUUACUUUGAACGGCUUAAGUGCUCAAGGCGAGUCUUCGGACUGAAUACCGGUGCAUGGAAUAAUGGAACAAGGUUUCGGCCGAGUUUUAUUGGUUUUGUCGGCUAAAACAAUGGUUAACAGGAACAGCUGGGGGCACUCGUAUCGCGGUGCGAGAGGUGAAAUUCGUGGACCACCGCGAGACGCCCUAAAGCGAAGGCAUUUGCCAAGAGUGUUUUCAUUAAUCAAGAACGAAAGUCAGAGGUUCGAAGGCGAUUAGAUACCGCCCUAGUUCUGACG